UUCAAUGUGGUAUCAUAACUUUGCGUAAACAAACACUUUCCUGAAGCCAAGUGGCUUGUUAUCUGUACGCAUGCUGAGCUAUCCGCGUGUAUGUCUACGUUGUGUUACUGUAUACAGCGGAUGGCAGUCUGCAGCGUCACAGCGUAAACACACACGCCACUUUCUAAAGCCAUUGUUUGAUCUAUCCUCCUUCCA